rnacentral:tRNA from 1 species
CGCGGGGUGGAGCAGCUUGGUAGCUCGUCGGGCUCAUAACCCGAAGGUCGCGGGUUCAAAUCCCGCCCCCGCUACCA